rnacentral:rRNA from 1 species
AGUGAACGCUGGCGGUAGGCCUAACACAUGCAAGUCGAACGGCAGCACAGUAAGAGCUUGCUCUUACGGGUGGCGAGUGGCGGACGGGUGAGGAAUACAUCGGAAUCUACUUUUUCGUGGGGGAUAACGUAGGGAAACUUACGCUAAUACCGCAUACGACCUACGGGUGAAAGCAGUGGAUCUUCGGACCUUGCGCGAUUGAAUGAGCCGAUGUCGGAUUAGCUAGUUGGCGGGGUAAAGGCCCACCAAGGCGACGAUCCGUAGCUGGUCUGAGAGGAUGAUCAGCCACACUGGAACUGAGACACGGUCCAGACUCCUACGGGAGGCAGCAGUGGGGAAUAUUGGACAAUGGGCGCAAGACUGAUCCAGCAAUACCGCGUGGGUGAAGAAGGCCUUCGGGUUGUAAAGCCCUUUUGUUGGGAAAGAAAAGCAGCAGGUUAAUACCCCGCUGUUCUGACGGUACCCAAAGAAUAAGCACCGGCUAACUUCGUG